GCGUGCUUAACACAUGCAAGUCGAACGGAAAGGCCCUGCUUUUGUGGGGUGCUCGAGUGGCGAACGGGUGAGUAACACGUGAGUAACCUGCCCUUGACUUUGGGAUAACUUCAGGAAACUGGGGCUAAUACCGGAUAGGAGCUCCUGCUGCAUGGUGGGGGUUGGAAAGUUUCGGCGGUUGGGGAUGGACUCGCGGCUUAUCAGCUUGUUGGUGGGGUAGUGGCUUACCAAGGCUUUGACGGGUAGCCGGCCUGAGAGGGUGACCGGCCACAUUGGGACUGAGAUACGGCCCAGACUCCUACGGGAGGCAGCAGUGGGGAAUAUUGCACAAUGGGCGGAAGCCUGAUGCAGCAACGCCGCGUGCGGGAUGACGGCCUUCGGGUUGUAAACCGCUUUCGCCUGUGACGAAGCGUGAGUGACGGUAAUGGGUAAAGAAGCACCGGCUAACUACGUGCCAGCAGCCGCGGUGAUACGUAGGGUGCGAGCGUUGUCCGGAUUUAUUGGGCGUAAAGGGCUCGUAGGUGGUUGAUCGCGUCGGAAGUGUAAUCUUGGGGCUUAACCCUGAGCGUGCUUUCGAUACGGGUUGACUUGAGGAAGGUAGGGGAGAAUGGAAUUCCUGGUGGAGCGGUGGAAUGCGCAGAUAUCAGGAGGAACACCAGUGGCGAAGGCGGUUCUCUGGGCCUUUCCUGACGCUGAGGAGCGAAAGCGUGGGGAGCGAACAGGCUUAGAUACCCUGGUAGUCCACGCUGUAAACGGUGGGUACUAGGUGUGGGGUCCAUUCCACGGGUUCCGUGCCGUAGCUAACGCUUUAAGUACCCCGCCUGGGGAGUACGGCCGCAAGGCUAAAACUCAAAGGAAUUGACGGGGCCCCGCACAAGCGGCGGAGCAUGCGGAUUAAUUCGAUGCAACGCGUAGAACCUUACCUGGGUUUGACAUGGAUCGGGAGUGCUCAGAGAUGGGUGUGCCUCUUUUGGGGUCGGUUCACAGGUGGUGCAUGGCUGUCGUCAGCUCGUGUCGUGAGAUGUUGGGUUAAGUCCCGCAACGAGCGCAACCCUUGUUCACUGUUGCCAGCACGUUAUGGUGGGGACUCAGUGGAGACCGCCGGGGUCAACUCGGAGGAAGGUGGGGAUGACGUCAAGUCAUCAUGCCCCUUAUGUCCAGGGCUUCACGCAUGCUACAAUGGCUGGUACAGAGAGUGGCGAGCCUGUGAGGGUGAGCGAAUCUCGGAAAGCCGGUCUCAGUUCGGAUUGGGGUCUGCAACUCGACCUCAUGAAGUCGGAGUCGCUAGUAAUCGCAGAUCAGCAACGCUGCGGUGAAUACGUUCCCGGGGCUUGUACACACCGCCCGUCAAGUCAUGAAAGUUGGUAACACCCGAAGCCGGUGGCCUAACCGUUGUGGGGGAGCCGUCGAAGGUGGGACUGGUGAUUAGGACUAAGUC
rnacentral:rRNA from 1 species